AACGAACGCUGGCGGCAGGCCUAACACAUGCAAGUCGAGCGAGGACUUCGGUUCUAGCGGCGGACGGGUGAGUAACGCGUGGGAAUGUGCCCUUCUCUACGGAAUAGCCCUGGGAAACUGGGAGUAAUACCGUAUACGCCCUAUUGGGGAAAGAUUUAUCGGAGAAGGAUCAGCCCGCGUUGGAUUAGGUAGUUGGUGGGGUAAUGGCCUACCAAGCCGACGAUCCAUAGCUGGGUUGAGAGGAUGAUCAGCCACACUGGGACUGAGACACGGCCCAGACUCCUACGGGAGGGAGCAGUGGGGAAUCGUAGACAAUGGGGGCAACCCUGAUCUAGCCAUGCCGCGUGAGUGAUUAAGGCCUUAGGGUUGUAAAGCUCUUUCAGCUGGGAAGAUAAUGACGGUACCAGCAGAAGAAGCCCCGGCUAACUCCGUG
rnacentral:rRNA from 1 species